GUUUUCAGUACCUGGGGCUCUGGGGCUGUGAGUGGAGGAUUCAGGGAUUGACACACACAGAGAUCCUUGAGCAAGGCUCUCACCCAGGUUCCAUAUGGAAAGGGCUGUGAAAACAUGGAAAGAUGAAAGGACCUGGGCCAAAUGGAGCAUCUACAAUACCCAGGACAGUUGUCACGCCAAUUCUGCCUGGUGCUGAGCAUCCUCUGGUCCUGCUGCAGGUGUUCAGCCACGUGCUGGGGUCCUUGGGCAGGAGAUAUUGCAAAGUCCCCAACUGCACAAUGCCACUUAACUGCAGGUGAGAAGGGCUUCCAGAAAUAGACCAGAACAGACACCAGACACUCCUCUGAAAUCCUCCAUGGCUGC
rnacentral:lncRNA from 1 species